CAAUAGCGUAUAUUAAAGUUGUUGCGGUUAAAAAGCUCGUAGUUGGAUUUCUGCCGAGGACGACCGGUCCGCCCUCUGGGUGUGUAUCUGGUUUGGCCUGGGCAUCUUCUUGGAGAACGUAGCUGCACUUGACUGUGUGGUGCGGUGUCCAGGACUUUUACUUUGAGGAAAUUAGAGUGUUUCAAGCAGGCACACGCCUUGAAUACAUUAGCAUGGAAUAAUAAGAUAGGAUUACGGUCCGUUUUUAUUGGUUUAGCGGCCGUGAUAAUGAUUAAUAGGAACAGUCGGGGGCAUUUGUAUUUAACUGUCAGAGGUGAAAUUCUUGGAUUUGUUAAAGACAAACUACUGCGAAAGCAUUUGCCAAGGAUGUUUUCAUUGA
rnacentral:rRNA from 1 species